rnacentral:rRNA from 1 species
UACCCCGCUGAAAUUUAAGCAUAUCAGUAAGCGGAGGAAAAGAAACUAACCAGGAUUCUCCUAGUAACGGCGAGUGAACGGAGAUUAGCCCAGCGCCGAAGCCUAUCUGCAUUUGUGGACAGGGCAAUGUGGCGUUUAGGCGCAAGCCUGGGGACGCUAUUCUACUCGAAGUCCAGCUCCGAUCAUGGCUUGGAUUUGUCCCAAAGAGGGUGAAAGGCCCGUACGAGUAGAAGUUGUGUAUCUUAGUGUCCCUUAGCUGCUUGUGCCUUGGAGUCGGAUUGCUUGAGAAUGCAGUCCAAAGUGGGUGGUAAACUCCAUCCAAGGCUAAAUACUGGCACGAAUCCGAUAGUAGACAAGUACCGCGAGGGAAAGUUGAAAAGUACUCUGAAGAGAGAGUAAAUAGUACGUGAAACCGCCUGAAUGGAAGCUGGUGGAGUCAAGCUUCUUGUUACGAGAAUUGGCCAGGGGAAAAUAAUUCCCGGGAUAUGGGUGCUACUGUCUUGCAAAUAGACGGGCGGUUCGCCGCCUCUCUUAGGCUGGGCAGCUUAUUUGUGUAUGUACCCUAUUUCCUUUCUCCUAUGCUAUUUCUCGUGACUAAUGUCACAGUCAAUGUGCUUCGUAACACGUGAUAGUUAAACCAUGUUUGGACAGGCCUCGUGUUUGCCCAGCAUGGGAUGGCAGGUUGGUGCUUGGGCCUCGGCUCGUAGUAUCGUAAGAUAAGCUUAUCGCUUGCUGACUGUUUCGUUUAUUGGUUAUCAGGCAUAUUGGUGCUAUGGCGACGGUGUCCUUCGGGUAGCCGUUGCAAGAACUGUGGUAUCGAAGUAGACUUUCCACCAGACCCGUCUUGAA